rnacentral:lncRNA from 1 species
UGACCUCGUGAUCCGCCCGCCUUGGACUCCCAAAGUGCUGGGAUUACAGUUGUGAGCCACUGUGCCCGGCCUAGCAAGAUCACUUUUUAAGUAUCCAGAAAGCUCUUUCUUAUGUUGAAUUAUGUCCAGAGGCAUAACUAGACUGAAGGUUUAGACUCCAUUCAUUCUCCUAUGUUUUUGUUCUUAACUGCAUUCUGCAGUCAAAUCAGGAGCUUUAGAAAAUACUGAUGCCUGGCUCUCAACCAGAGAGAACUGAACUGAAUUGGUCUGGUGAAUUCAUUAAAAGAGCUAACAACAAUGAAGUUAAUGUACGCAUCUCACCUCUCAAGAGUAUUAACAGGCCAGGCGUGUUGGCUCAUACCUGUAAUCCCAGCACUUUGGGAGGCCAAGGCGGGCGGAUCACCCAAGGUAAGUUCAAGACCAGCCUGACCAACAUGGUGAAACCCCGUCUCUAUUAAAAAUACAAAAUUAGCCAGGCAUGGUGGUGCAUCCCUGUAAUCCCAGCUACUCGGCACCUGAGGCACAAGAAUUGCUUGAACCCGGGAGGCAGAGGUUGCGGUGAGCUGAGAUCCUGCCAUUGUACUCCAGCGUGGGCAACAAGAAUGAAACUCUGUCUCAAAAAAAUAA